CAAAGCUCUGGCCCUGCUGUCUAUCAAUCAAGACAAUUCUGUCAAGACAUUUCUCUCAGUCUCAGCCAAGGUUACAAACCUGUGUCAGCGUUUCAAGCUCAGGCCCUGCUGUCUAUAAGUAUCAAGACAAUUCUUCCAGCAUGAAUAUUGCAAAAG